rnacentral:lncRNA from 1 species
UCAUUGUUACAGUGGGUUUGAUCCGACAAAACCGACACCAUGUAAGAGUCGUAAGCUUAAUAGUGUUACGGAUAUCAAUUUUUAUUUUAUGGGAUUUUCUCCUGGAAACAUUAUUCAACUGUUCGCAACAAUUUUUUAAGUUUUGAAAAUUGACAGCAAUUAAAUAUAAGUAAGAGAAUAAUUUUAUUGAUGAAUUCUAUGGGGUAUAAUUUUUUUGUUCUCUUGAUUUUUCUCUUGAAGGGAGCCUUGAAGUAGUGGUAAAGUUGUUGUCAUGUGAUGAGAAGGUUAUGGGUUCAAGUCGUAAAAAUAAUGGUAAAAAAGUGGAGUAAAAUUACGUACAAUAAAUUCUUGUGGCUCGACUCUUUCUUGGACCUUGCACAUAACGUAGGCUGCUAAUUGUUUCUCUCAAUUCUUCUCUUCUAAACUUUGUGAUUUAAGAACUUUUGGUAGAGUAUUUUUUGAAUUGCAAUAUGAUUUGAACCUUUUAAAAAU